rnacentral:rRNA from 1 species
GGCGAGCGAAACCGGUAUAGGGCAAACCGAACCUGGUGGUGAGAGCCACUGGGGAUGUGGAGUUGUAGGACUUCCUCCAAUCUCUCGCGCGGAAAGCUGAAGCAGUUGGAAAACUGCGCUUUAGAGGGUGAGAGCCCCGUAGGCGUAACUGCGCAGGGUACGAGGGGAAGUAUCCUGAAUAGGAUGCCUUGGAAAUGGUGUCCGAAGCUGGGAGGCAUCAACUCCCAACCCUAAACACGACUCGAGACCGAUAGUGAACGCAGUACCGCGAGGGAAAGCCGAAAAGCACCCCGGAAGGGGGGUGAAAAGAGCCUAAAACCAGAUGGCGAUUGUUGGGUACGGCCUAAAAGAGUUGAUUCUCCCCGAAGGAAGCCGUCGCGAGGCGGUGGUACGAGGGGAGAGGAUCGGAGUCGUACCGUCCGUCUAGAAUCACGGGCCAGGGAGUUCAUUGUCGUGGCGAGGCUAAGGAGUUCAACUCCGGAGCCAAAGCGAAAGCGAAAGGUCCGCAGCCCGAAAGGGCGAGGGACUGGGUGUGAAUAGCGCCC